AUUGAACGCUGGCGGAAUGCCUUACACAUGCAAGUCGAACGGUUGAGGGGGCAACCCCUCGAGAGUGGCGAACGGGUGAGUAAUAUAUCGGAACGUGCCCAGUCGUGGGGGAUAACGUAGCGAAAGUUACGCUAAUACCGCAUACGAUCUAAGGAUGAAAGCGGGGGAUCGCAAGACCUCGCGCGAUUGGAACGGCCGAUAUCAGAUUAGGUAGUUGGUGGGGUAAAGGCUCACCAAGCCAACGAUCUGUAGCUGGUCUGAGAGGACGACCAGCCACACUGGAACUGAGACACGGUCCAGACUCCUACGGGAGGCAGCAGUGGGGAAUUUUGGACAAUGGACGCAAGUCUGAUCCAGCCAUUCCGCGUGCAGGAUGAAGGCCCUCGGGUUGUAAACUGCUUUUGUACGGAACGAAAAGGUCUCUCUUAAUACGGGGGACUCAUGACGGUACCGUAAGAAUAAGCACCGGCUAACUACGUGCCAGCAGCCGCCGUAA
rnacentral:rRNA from 1 species